GGUAAACUUUCCCUGAGACUUUGCAGGUGUUCCUUAUUGUGUAUUAUUUGAACUGUAUUUCGAGGUUGUAUCGAAAUAGCACCAGUUAAUUACCUCUUUCAGGUCUCUGAAGUGUUCAUCCUUGCAUGUGCUGAUUUAGAUGGGGAGGUCUGAACUCCUCGUGGAAAAUUCAAUUUUAUUAUAUUAAUGUAGUAAAUUUACUGCAAAUAGACCUCUGACCUUGCUUGGUACCACAAUUAUCCGUCUAAACCCCCCCCCCCCCCAAUCCCCCCCCGCAAAAAUUUUCUGGACCCUCUCAGGCAUCUGGUUGUUUUUAAAUGUAAUGACUUAUAAAUUACUUGACAAAUAAUAUGUGUGUUAUAUUUUGAUCAUUACUAGAACUGUUUAUUUCUGUUGACCGAUAUCUUUAAAUGACGUAAAGUAUAUAUCUUGUUAAUUGCUUGCUAUGGUUACAAGAGUCAGAGAUUAGCUCUCUUCAAUAUGGCAUUCUGUUUCGAUAAAUGACUAGUUUUAAUAACCUUAAUGGUUAAAAGCCUUAAACAUUACUGCUUGAUCAUACAUAGCUUUUAGAACAUCAGGAGCAAAUUCUAAGCGCCUGUAACACAUCCAAAGAAAGACAUAAAAACAUUCUAGAAUUAGUCAUAUUUGUUUAUUAAUAAGGAUUCUUAAGAUAACUUAAGAGAAACAAAAAUUAAAAUUUUGACGUAUGUUCAAUAUUUAAUACACAAAUAAAAAGAUUAUGAAAGCAGGUCUGGUUCUCUGUAAAAGAGGAAAUAAUAUUUUUGACCUCCAAAUAAAAUUCGACCUUUUUAUCAUGCCUAUUUUUUUUGUUUAGGAUUGAUUAAUAUAUAUAUCUAUGAUUUUGAAUCUAUAAAUAUUUGACCAUCAUUGUAACUUCCAAUGAAAAGAUUUUAAUCAAAAAUCAAUAUUGGUUGUUUAUAUCAGACCAAGUGUUUUGCAUAGCUUGUUUUUGUAUUCAUGGUAAUUUUUGUUAUUGAGUUUAUUACUGUUUUUUUUUCAAUAAUUUUUCUUUAUGUUGUUCUUUCUGUUAGAGGUAAGGUAAUUUAAAACAAUUAAUUCCUUGAGCAUUUGUAUUUUUUGGUUAAUAUUUCUAAAAAUGGUUUUUGUAUGCUUGUGUGAUUUAUAACUAUUAAUAUGUUUGGCUCUUGCAGAUGUUUAUCUCGUUCAUAUAAUACUUGGUUUAAAAUAUUUAAAACUUAAUAUUGUUUUUAAUGUGCAUGUCUCUUCAGUAACUUACAUGACUUAAUGAGAAUUACUCAGACAUACUAGUAAGUCAGUGCAAGUCAACUUAGACAUAAGGUAACUAAAAAAUCAACUCUGACACAAGUCAUUAUAUUAUUUUACCAGGGAUUCCAAAAAACUUUGCAAUAUCAGAAAAUUUGUUAUAUCCUCGUUCUUACUAAACGAGUUUUACUGUAGAUAAAUUAACUCAACAUGAGUCAAUAGAUAAAUCAACUUGAUCUUGAGUCAAUAGAUAAAUCAACUCAAAUAUGAGUCAAUAGAUAAAUCAAGUCAACAGAUUGUAAACAGUGUUUGGUAGAAAUACAACUUGAUAAGUUGUUUUUUUUUAAGACUGGUCACUUAGAAGGUAAUAAUUUUGAGAAUUUACAACAUUGUGAUUGUGAGGUUUAAUUGUACCAGUACCUGUACUAAGUUAUAGCUUUUAUUUAAACUCCUGUCUAAUUGGUUUAUACUAUUCUAUUUAUAUUCUGCUCAGCUCUAUGGAGAUUUUAUCUCUGUUUUAUAAGUGCUUCGUUACCACAGCAGCAGUUGUUGAGUUUCCUGUUUGUAAUUAUACAUGUUGAUUGAUCCUCAGAUAAGAACAAUUGCCCCUGUUUCAAAUCUGCAAAUUAUUAUUUAAAUCUCUAAAUUUCUUAAUUAACCUUUUGUCUUUAAAUUGAUUUUUUGUGUGUCCAACAUAACAUAAUGAUGACAAGAAUGUAUACUGAUUAUGUCAUGUCAAUCCAAAUACAUAUAAUCCAAAUAUCUUGAUCUGAAUUAUCAUGACCUUGACCUAAAUGUGGUGAUCGAGAUCCUAAAUACAGUUCGUUUUCUACUGAUUGUCAUGUAAACAUCCUAUAUAAUUAUGUUGUCUGUGAUAAUAAAUGAUUUAACAUGUC
rnacentral:sRNA from 1 species